CCCAAGAAAUGUGCUGGUGCCAAAACCAGUCCUUGUGCUCAACUGGGAACUUGCUUGAGCAGUCUGACUGGUUGGAACCGUUGUGCCUUGUUCCUACGAAACAUGUUCCUUUGACUGCACCUCUCGGUGUCAAAGCACUUAAAGGCUCAAACUGUUAUGCAACAGUCAUGAGAUUUUUGGCUGCCAUCUCCUCCUCUCAAAACCUGAGCAGAAAGUAGCAGUGUGCCUGGGUUGGCUGGGGCUUUCUUGGCUCUGUGGCUCGUGAACCACUGCUCCUUACUCAUGCUGCGGGGACCAGCAUUGCCAGCUCAACUGGAAUAGGGAGCUGAAUGCCUUCUGCCUUCGUUUUGAUACAGGAUUCGUAUGGGAGUUAAACUAAGCUUCCUGUCCAAGCGCUGUUCCUGCUCUCUUGAUUAGAGAACAGCAAUUUGCACUAAGCCUCACCCCACGCAGUCUCUGAUGCUGCUGCCGAAAAACAUCACUGACGAGGUCUCAAAGUAAUCCCAGUGCCCCAGAAUACCAUGCAUCUCUCUGUUCUGGCUUGUAAAAUGGCAGUCUACAAUGCUGGGAUAUACCAUGAUGAGCAUGAGGCGUGCAAAUACAACUCAGAGCAACUGGCACUUCUGUCAACACAGCACUGAAAACACUGAUGUCAUUUGGUAUUUGCGCAUAUGGACCUCAAGGCCAAUGACAAAUUCUGAACAUUGUCAAUGUUAAGGCUGUCUGAUAGAUUUCCUAAAUAUGUCACAUUUCCUAAAUAUAUCAUUUCAAGGUGUCUCCAUUACAUCCACCACAUUAGCUCUGUCUGUACAAGUAAUUUACCUCAACGGUGUCACUCUGGGCAGAUGCAAGCAAAGAUGUAACCAUGUGCUGCUGCCCUAAAUUAUUAUUUGCACUGAAGCAGCCUUAGGGCUGCAUCUGAAAGAGGAGACUGAGGAGGGCCUGCUCCAGCUGUGUCUAAGGCUCUUUCAGGUAAGACCCAGAUGUGCCUGGGUUUUCUUCCCCCAAGUCCUCAUCUUUCUUUGCCCUCAUAUUGCCACAGCUGAAGGACGCAGCUCUGACGGAGCCGUGAGUACCCCAAAGCUGUCUGAUCAGGGUUUCUUUGUGCCCACUCUUGCCAUGUCCCAUCAGCUGCUCCAAGGACCAGCCUGACCUGGACCCCCUUGUGCUAGGAACCACACAAACCCAGAGCAACUUUGAAAAUCUGUGAGUUUGUGCUUUACAGCCUUUUGUAUUAGAUGCUUCACAGAUGAAAGGUAGACAUCCACAGUGUGCAAGAGCCAAGAGAAGGAAUAAAUACAAUGAACUUGAACUUCAGAUUUUUUUUUUUUUUUUUUUUUUUUUUCUGUGAGUUCAAUGUAUUUUUUAAAUUACCUUAGUACUUCGGAAGGUAGCAAAGCCAAGUGAAGAGGUUCAGACACUUUCCUAUGGUAACCUUGAUUAUGUAAGUGAUAGAUAACGUGUUGUGUUCCUACCAAAAAAAAAAAAAAAAAGACAAAAUACUUUUUUGUAGCAUACAUGUAGGCAAAGUGAGGCUUACAUUGCAAAAUGCAUAACCAAAUGCUGAAAGGUUUAAUCUUGCUCAGGCAUAAAAAAGUAGGCUCUUUCUGAUGGCUGGGAAGUUUCUGAUUACAUACUUUUUUUU